GAUGAACGCUGGCGGCGUGCUUAACACAUGCAAGUCGAGCGAACGGACCCGACGUUUGUUUCUUGGUCGUUAGCGGCGGACGGGGGAGAAACACGUGGAAACCCCCCUUAAAAGUCGGGGAAAAUUUGGGGAAACGGGAGCAAAUCCCGUAGGAUCUUUUGAACCACAGGGUUCAAAGGAAAAAGACGGCCUUUCUGUCUCUAAUAGCUGAUUCCGGGCUGCAUUAGCUGGUUGGUACGUUAACGGCUUACCAAGGCAACGAUGCAUAUCCGACUGGAGAGAGUGAUCGGCCACACUGGAACUGAGACACGGUCCAGACUCCUACGGGAGGCAGCAGUAGGGAAUCUUCCGCAAUGGGCGAAAGCCUGACGGAGCAACGCCGCGUGAGUGAUGAAGGUCUUCGGAUCGUAAAACUCUGUUAUUAGGGAAGAACAUAUGUGUAAGUAACUGUGCACAGCUUGACGGUACCUAAUCAGAAAGCCACGGCUAACUACGUG
rnacentral:rRNA from 1 species